UGGGGAAUAUUGCACAAUGGGCGAAAGCCUGAUGCAGCGACGCCGCGUGAGGGAUGACGGCCUUCGGGUUGUAAACCUCUUUCAGCAGGGACGAAGCGCAAGUGACGGUACCCGCAGAAGAAGCACCGGCUAACUACGUGCCAGCAGCCGCGGUAAUACGUAGGGUGCAAGCGUUGUCCGGAAUUACUGGGCGUAAAGAGUUCGUAGGCGGUUUGUCGCGUCGUUUGUGAAAACCAGCAGCUCAACUGCUGGCUUGCAGGCGAUACGGGCAGACUUGAGUACUGCAGGGGAGACUGGAAUUCCUGGUGUAGCGGUGAAAUGCGCAGAUAUCAGGAGGAACACCGGUGGCGAAGGCGGGUCUCUGGGCAGUAACUGACGCUGAGGAACGAAAGCGUGGGUAGCGAACAGG
rnacentral:rRNA from 1 species